GUCGUUCCUCUUCCCUACCCUCUAGCGACGCCGCCGACGGCAACACGACACUUGUCCGGCUACAGCGCCACCAGAAGUGGCCUCCGAAGAGCCAGUUGAUCCACCUAUGAGGUAGAAAGGUUGGACGGUGCCAUGCCGCCACCCGCAGAUGUCUACCUCCGGUCGACCCCUGCCUCACGAAGCUCAUCGUCUUGAUCCGCCUGCUCCUAAUCCGGAUGAUAUCGUGCCUCUGACCCUUCCAGCCACCUUAAUUGCAUGUUCCCCAUCUAUCAGUUUGAUGUUGAUUUCCUCUCUUCCUUCCCGAUCUUGCGUUCUGUAUGUUCCCAUCUGUUCGUUCUAUGGUGAACCUGAUCUGCUGGUUUAAGGAGUUUCGAUCUGCUGGGUAACCAAUCUUCAGUUUCUGGAUCCAUUCAUGAUGUGUCAUGCACCGGCGACGCUUAAUACAAGUGUGACUUUGUAUUUUCCUCUGUACAAGAAUCUGCAACCUUCCUACUCCAGCAGCUGAACCUCUAGUAGCAUGGUUCAUGGCAAGGCGGUGUUCAUACUGAUUUGGUCAACUAAUUUGGGUAAAACUUGGAGGCUGGUUUUGGCAUAUUGAUUUGGGAUUUCUUUACUUUAAUCUCUGAUGGCUGCUGGACAGUUUAUUACUACGACAUUUGAGGAAUUCUUCAGUUUUGAAUCUCUGGUGGAUAGCGGCUUUUAAUUUUCUUCUAUAAUUCUCUAUUUGUUGAUCUAAUUUCCAGCAUGCUCCAAGUAAAAUGGAUAUUUGCGUUCAAUCGAUUAUCUCAGACUAUGAAACAAAACAAAUCAGUGCAUCAGCGAGGACUAGGGUUAUCAAAUGAUGAGUUGAUAAACUGCCAAUAAGAUGUGAAAUCAAGAACCAAGUGUUUCGUAUGAUGGGCAAGAACAACGAGCUAGGCUAAAAAAUAGGGAAAACGAAGAUCAAACAAAUUGAUGGGUGUUUAUGAUUUCAGUUUAAGGCUGAUUGUACAUCAACUUUAGAGCUGUAUUUUUACCUUACAACCUGAUGUUGUUGCUAAAACUUGCAGCUGGUUAGAAUAAGAUUUUAGUGUCUGAUCUUGCAACUGCAGUACACACAUUACGCUGCUAAAACAAGUGCCGGUGCUCUGUUUUGCUAACCUGAAUAUUCAGUUUGUUGUCCUUAAACCCAAGCAACUUAUUUUGUUGUAC